ACGAACGCUGGCGGCGUGCCUAAUACAUGCAAGUAGAACGCUGAAGAGAGGAGCUUGCUCUUCUUGGAUGAGUUGCGAACGGGUGAGUAACGCGUAGGUAACCUGCCUUGUAGCGGGGGAUAACUAUUGGAAACGAUAGCUAAUACCGCAUAACAAUGGAUGACACAUGUCAUUUAUUUGAAAGGGGCAAUUGCUCCACUACAAGAUGGACCUGCGUUGUAUUAGCUAGUAGGUGAGGUAACGGCUCACCUAGGCGACGAUACAUAGCCGACCUGAGAGGGUGAUCGGCCACACUGGGACUGAGACACGGCCCAGACUCCUACGGGAGGCAGCAGUAGGGAAUCUUCGGCAAUGGGGGCAACCCUGACCGAGCAACGCCGCGUGAGUGAAGAAGGUUUUCGGAUCGUAAAGCUCUGUUGUAAGUCAAGAACGAGUGUGAGAGUGGAAAGUUCACACUGUGACGGUAGCUUACCAGAAAGGGACGGCUAACUACGUGCCAGCAGCCGCGGUAAUACGUAGGUCCCGAGCGUUGUCCGGAUUUAUUGGGCGUAAAGCGAGCGCAGGCGGUUUGAUAAGUCUGAAGUUAAAGGCUGUGGCUCAACCAUAGUUCGCUUUGGAAACUGUCAAACUUGAGUGCAGAAGGGGAGAGUGGAAUUCCAUGUGUAGCGGUGAAAUGCGUAGAUAUAUGGAGGAACACCGGUGGCGAAAGCGGCUCUCUGGUCUGUAACUGACGCUGAGGCUCGAAAGCGUGGGGAGCGAACAGGAUUAGAUACCCUGGUAGUCCACGCCGUAAACGAUGAGUGCUAGGUGUUGGAUCCUUUCCGGGAUUCAGUGCCGCAGCUAACGCAUUAAGCACUCCGCCUGGGGAGUACGACCGCAAGGUUGAAACUCAAAGGAAUUGACGGGGGCCCGCACAAGCGGUGGAGCAUGUGGUUUAAUUCGAAGCAACGCGAAGAACCUUACCAGGUCUUGACAUCCCGAUGCUAUUUCUAGAGAUAGAAAGUUACUUCGGUACAUCGGUGACAGGUGGUGCAUGGUUGUCGUCAGCUCGUGUCGUGAGAUGUUGGGUGAAGUCCCGCAACGAGCGCAACCCCUAUUGUUAGUUGCCAUCAUUCAGUUGGGCACUCUAGCGAGACUGCCGGUAAUAAACCGGAGGAAGGUGGGGAUGACGUCAAAUCAUCAUGCCCCUUAUGACCUGGGCUACACACGUGCUACAAUGGUUGGUACAACGAGUUGCGAGUCGGUGACGGCAAGCUAAUCUCUUAAAGCCAAUCUCAGUUCGGAUUGUAGGCUGCAACUCGCCUACAUGAAGUCGGAAUCGCUAGUAAUCGCGGAUCAGCACGCCGCGGUGAAUACGUUCCCGGGCCUUGUACACACCGCCCGUCACACCACGAGAGUUUGUAACACCCGAAGUCGGUGAGGUAACCUUUUGGAGCCAGCCGCCUAAGGUGGGAUAGAUGAUUGGGGUG
rnacentral:rRNA from 1 species